rnacentral:tRNA from 1 species
GCUUGGAUAGUUUAGAAUUUAAAAUAUUGAUUUGUGGAGUCAAUGAUAUAAUACGUUAUUUCAGGUU